rnacentral:rRNA from 1 species
AUUGAACGCUGGCGGCAGGCCUAACACAUGCAAGUCGAGCGGAUGAAGGGAGCUUGCUCCUGGAUUCAGCGGCGGACGGGUGAGUAAUGCCUAGGAAUCUGCCUGGUAGUGGGGGAUAACGUCCGGAAACGGGCGCUAAUACCGCAUACGUCCUGAGGGAGAAAGUGGGGGAUCUUCGGACCUCACGCUAUCAGAUGAGCCUAGGUCGGAUUAGCUAGUUGGUGGGGUAAAGGCCUACCAAGGCGACGAUCCGUAACUGGUCUGAGAGGAUGAUCAGUCACACUGGAACUGAGACACGGUCCAGACUCCUAAGGGAGGCAGCAGUGGGGAAUAUUGGACAAUGGGCGAAAGCCUGAUCCAGCCAUGCCGCGUGUGUGAAGAAGGUCUUCGGAUUGUAAAGCACUUUAAGUUGGGAGGAAGGGCAGUAAGUUAAUACCUUGCUGUUUUGGCGUUACCAACAGAAUAAGCACCGGCUAACUUCGUG